rnacentral:rRNA from 1 species
UCAGAGGGGAAGUAACCCGGCGAAAGUACGGACUAAUACCGCAUAAAACAAGGGGCACCGCAUGGUGAUAUUUGUUAAAGAAAUUCGCUGAUAGAUGGGCAUGCGUUCCAUUAGGUAGUUGGUGAGGUAACGGCUCACCAAGCCGACGAUGGAUAGGGGAACUGAGAGGUUGGUCCCCCACACUGGUACUGAGACACGGACCAGACUCCUACGGGAGGCAGCAGUGAGGAAUAUUGGUCAAUGGGCGGGAGCCUGAACCAGCCAAGUCGCGUGAAAAGGAAGAAGGAUCUAUGGUUCGUAAACUUCUUUUGCAGGGGAAUAAAGUGCAGGACGUGUCCUGUUUUGUAUGUACCCUGAGAAUAAGGAUCGGCUAACUCCGUGCCAGCCGCAGC